GCGCUGGGGAGAAUUAAUCCCGGAGUCGCCGUCUACGCGGCCCUGGGGGGUUAGGACGCCCGCCGGGGAGAGACCGUGUACUCGCCGCGCGCGAAGGUGCCCCUUCCACCGCCUGGCCAAGCGGAGCGCUGGAAGUCCCCAGGCCGAGGACUUGCGGGCACAGGGCAGCGGUCCCGGAGGCAGGCACCUGUUUGCCUGCAGGAAGCAGGCUGGCUGCCAGACUGCUGGCUCCUGGGGAUGCUUCUUGGGGGUGCUUCGAUGGCCCCCAGCCCAGGCGAGGUCAUCCCUCUUCCAAGGAUGCCCUGAGACGUCGGUGGCUCGGCCCCCAGCCCCCACACCCUUGAGUCGGUCCAGGAGCAGGACAAAAAGGACAAGACAUCCUCCCAUCCUGGCGCCCCCACUGAGCACUCUUCCCCGAGUGCCAGACAGCUGGCGCAGUUCCACGGGCUCAUGCUGUCAACAGGAUCAGCGAGACCUCACGGAGAAGCCUCUAGCACAGCAAGCGGCUCGGCCGAGACGCUGCCGCCUGCUUCUGUGCACCCAGCAUCCCCCACCCAUCCCAGGAGACAAGAAACGCCUUACGGGGGAAUCACAGAAUAAAACUAGAGCGGGGCAGCAC
ensembl:lncRNA